rnacentral:rRNA from 1 species
GGGCUUACACAAGCGGUGGAGCAUGUGGUUUAAUUCGAAACAACGCGCAGAACCUUACCAAUCCUUGCAAUAUACAGGAAGCAACUGUUAUAAGUUGUCUUUUGGUAUACAGGCGCUGCAUGGCUGUCGUCAGUUCGUGGCGUGAGCUGUUGGGUUAAGUCCUAGAACGAACGCAACCCUCUUAGCAUGUGCAUUUUUAAUGCCUUGUUAAACUGCCAGUGACAUACGGGAGGAAGGAGAGGAUGACGUCAAGUCCGCAUGGCCCUUAUGGGUUGGGCUACACACGUGCUACAAUGGUAGUGACAAUGGGUUAAUCCCAAAAAGCUAUCUCAGUUCGGAUUGUCGUCUGCAACUCGACGGCAUGAAGUCGGAAUCGCUAGUAA